rnacentral:rRNA from 1 species
UACGAAGGGGGCUAGCGUUGCUCGGAAUCACUGGGCGUAAAGGGUGCGUAGGCGGGUCUUUAAGUCAGGGGUGAAAUCCUGGAGCUCAACUCCAGAACUGCCUUUGAUACUGAGGAUCUUGAGUCCGGGAGAGGUGAGUGGAACUGCGAGUGUAGAGGUGAAAUUCGUAGAUAUUCGCAAGAACACCAGUGGCGAAGGCGGCUCACUGGCCCGGUACUGACGCUGAGGCACGAAAGCGUGGGGGAGCAAACAGGG